AACGGCCGCGGUAUCCUAACCGUGCAAAGGUAGCAUAAUCACUUGCCUAUUAAUUGUAGGCUAGAAUGAAUGGGUUAACGAAAUAAAAACUGUCUCAAUUAAUUACCUAAAAAUUACUAUCUACUUGAAGAAGAGUAGAUAAUCUCGAAGGACAAGAAGACCCUAUAGAGCUUAAUUUUAAUUAUAGGAAUAUACUAUAAAAAUAUUCGGUUGGGGCGACCCAGGGCUAAUCAAUCACCCGCUACAUAAAAGAUAGAUUAAUCAAGUAAUUGACCCCUAAAAGAUCAUAAGAACAAGCUACCUUAGGGAUAACAGGCUAAUCCCACUCAAGAGUCCUUAUCAACAGUGGGGUUUGGCACCUCGAUGUUGGCUUAGG
rnacentral:rRNA from 1 species